UGGCGAACGGGUGAGUAACACGUGGGUGAUCUGCCCUGCACUCUGGGAUAAGCCUGGGAAACUGGGUCUAAUACCGGAUAGGACCAUGCUUUAGUGUGUGUGGUGGAAAGUUUUUUCGGUGUAGGAUGAGCCCGCGGCCUAUCAGCUUGUUGGUGGGGUAAUGGCCUACCAAGGCGGCGACGGGUAGCCGGACUGAGAGGUUGGUCGGCCACAUUGGGACUGAGAUACGGCCCGG
rnacentral:rRNA from 1 species